UCAAGAUGGCAGCUCACAGGGGAAGCGAGACAGAACAGAAGGAUCAGAAGGUCGGAGGAAGACAGAUGUUCCCAUCAGGAAUGGUGUGAUCAACUCAAACGAGGAGAUCAGGAUGCAGACACACACAGAGGGAAGACAAUGAAAGGGUCCGGGAGAAGACAGCCAUCUACAAGCCAAGGAGAGAGGCCGCAGAAGGACCAACUCUGCUGAUACCUUGAUCUGUGACUUCUAGAUUCCAGAACUGUGAGAAAGCGGCUCUGACCACAGCGUCCAUCAGACUGUUGCUCUUCGUCCAGUCUCGCCCUGAGUCAGAUGGUGAUGUUCACUCUCAUUCUUGUGGCUCAUCGGACACUGGGAGGAUGCGUAAGCACGGCACACAGUUCUGGUCUCCCGUCCUGAGCUGUGCAGAAGUCUACUAGGUUCAGCUCCCUGUCCUUUAUCCCAGCAUAAAGGGAUACCGGGAUACUGACCCUGACAUCUAGCGUCUCCGGUAGGAACUCAUUUUCGCUCUGUCUCUCUGUCCCCCACCAGCCAGGGCCACCUCCAAGCUCCUGUACUGGAUCAGAGCCAUCUUUAUUCUUAGGCUAAAAUUCUCAGGGUCAUCUGUGAUGUAGCAAUGUGAGAAUGUAUGGCAAUGAAAUAGAAGCAACAUACCCUAUAGUAUGCUGAUUGGGGAAGGAAAUUAUGGGGGCUACUUUCCUUUAAAGGUAUAUUCCCUUUGGGUAAAUUAUGAGUUAGCUCAGAGUUGCUAAAUGUAUUAUUGUAAGUCAUUAUAUUGUUCACAGCUUCAGUUAAAAUCAUCAAAAUGUUUGCUACUCUCCAAGUAUUUAAAAACCAGGGCCAGUAGCUAUCACUAACUAGAGGGAAGGUCAUUUAUAGGGGGGAAAAUAAUAAGAAAAAAUGAUAGUUUUUUUAAAAAUGACAUUUGAUAAAGUAGAAGGGGGAUAAAGGGCACAUUUUUCUUUAAAAAUAUACUGUUGUGGUGGUGGUGUGAUUUUUCCCAAUUUCUCAUUUCUACGUCGUCCUUUUGCAUUUUGACACUGCAUACUUGGUUUACAUAUGUUAGACUGUCCCUGGAAAAUAAAAUUGAAUUCUUGUGGUCACACAUUUCCACUGUGCAGAAAAAUGUGGCAUUAAUUUCAAAACUUCUAGUCUUAGUCAAUGUGGAUAGUUAUUUUUGAACAAGGCAAGUAGAUGAAGUGGUAAUUGCACAUCCUGUUUACAAGCAUACUGUAUGCCAAGCCUCAUGCUCAGCUGAAUAUGUAUAUUCACCUCUGACCCUCACACUCCUUGGUCACUGUGUCACCUGCAGAUAAAUUGACACUCAGCGAGGUUAAGUCAAUUUA